UACGAAGGGGACUAGCGUUAAUCGGAAUUACUGGGCGUAAAGCGUGCGCAGGCGGCUUCGCAAGUCAGACGUGAAAUCCCCGGGCUUAACCUGGGAAUGGCGUUUGAAACUACGGAGCUGGAGUGUGGCAGAGGGAGGUAGAAUUCCACGUGUAGCGGUGAAAUGCGUAGAUAUGUGGAGGAAUACCGAUGGCGAAGGCAGCCUCCUGGGCCAACACUGACGCUCAUGCACGAAAGCGUGGGGAGCAAACAGG
rnacentral:rRNA from 1 species